rnacentral:lncRNA from 1 species
CUCUCUCUCUCUCUCUCUCUCUCUCUUCCCUAAUGCCAUUUCUUUUGCGAUCCUCUUUUCCAGGGGCCUCCCCAAGUCCACAGUGCAUUUCACCUGGGGUGAGGCUCACCUCUCCGGGCCGCAGUCACCAUGCAGACUGCUCUCUUUCCUGUGUACCUUGUUUUUUUUUCCGCUCUCUCUGUGCAUCCCACGAGGCGCUGCACUAACUGAUGGAAUGCACGCAGGUGCCAGAGAGGUAUUGGAAGCGCCAUGCAGAAAGCUUUACUAAAAAGAGCCAGAUUUGCAGUCUCCUAUCCUGGCUCCAACCGUAAGCAGGGACAAGGAAGUGAAAGGACCUCUCUUUGGAACAAAUGUCUGUGCUGGAUCUGGCCUCUGAGCAAGAAGAAGGGCAGUGCUGCCUUCCAAGUCAAGUUGAGAGACCCUGCUCGGCCUCUGCUUACUUGAAGAAUCUCCAUGGUUGGCAUUAUGCUGUCAGUUGUCAAGAACUGUGCAAGGAUUAUAGAUUUUUGAAGGUUUACUUUAUGAAUUAGAUCUCUUUGUGUGUAUGCAUGUGGGCCCCUGUGCAUAUGUAUGCACAUGCAUGCAGAGGUCAGAGGGCCAUAUCAGGUACUUUCUUCUAUUUCUACCAUAUUAUUAUUGUUGUUGUUAUCAUUACUGAGACAAUGUCUCUUGUAGAACCUAGCGCUCACAGAUGGGAUGGGCAGAAUGACAACAAUCUCUGGGGCUCUCCCCGCAUAUGCCUCUGCCUGAGCACUAGGAAUUUCAAGGAUUAGCCUGGGCUUCUGGCACACACAUACUCUCUGUGUUCAGAAGGUUGAA